rnacentral:rRNA from 1 species
AGAAUGUAGACUCGCUAAUAUCGGGUCUAUUUGACAAAGGCUCCAAAGGAAGCCACGGCUAACUCUGUGCCAGCAGCCGCGGUAAUACAGAGGUGGCAAGCGUUGUUCGGAAUUAUUGGGCGUAAAGAGCACGUAGGUGGAUUUGUAAGUCAGACGUGAAAGCCUUCUGUUCAACGGAAGAAUUGCAUCUGAAACUACAAACCUUGAGUGUAGGAGGGGAGAGUGGAAC